rnacentral:rRNA from 1 species
GCUUGUCUCAAAGAUUAAGCCAUGCAUGUCUAAGUAUAAGCAAUUUAUACGGUGAAACUGCGAAUGGCUCAUUAAAUCAGUUAUCGUUUAUUUGAUAGUACCUUACUACAUGGAUACCUGUGGUAAUUCUAGAGCUAAUACAUGCUAAAAACCUCGACUUCGGAAGGGGUGUAUUUAUUAGAUAAAAAACCAAUGCCCUUCGGGGCUCCUUGGUGAAUCAUAAUAACUUAACGAAUCGCAUGGCCUUGCGCCGGCGAUGGUUCAUUCAAAUUUCUGCCCUAUCAACUUUCGAUGGUAGGAUAGUGGCCUACCAUGGUGGCAACGGGUAACGGGGAAUUAGGGUUCGAUUCCGGAGAGGGAGCCUGAGAAACGGCUACCACAUCCAAGGAAGGCAGCAGGCGCGCAAAUUACCCAAUCCCGAUACGGGGAGGUAGUGACAAUAAAUACUGAUACGGGGCUCUUUUGGGUCUCGUAAUUGGAAUGAGUACAAUUUAAAUACCUUAACGAGGAACAAUUGGAGGGCAAGUCUGGUGCCAGCAGCCGCGGUAAUUCCAGCUCCAAUAGCGUAUAUUAAAGUUGUUGCAGUUAAAAAGCUCGUAGUUGAACCUUGGGUCUGGCUGGCCGGUCCGCCUCACCGCGAGUACUGGUCCGGCUGGACCUUUCCUUCUGGGGAACCUCAUGGCCUUCACUGGCUGUGGGGGGAACCAGGACUUUUACUGUGAAAAAAUUAGAGUGUUCAAAGCAGGCCUUUGCUCGAAUACAUUAGCAUGGAAUAAUAGAAUAGGACGUGCGGAUCUAAUUUGUUGGUUUCUAGGACCGCCGUAAUGAUUAAUAGGGAUAGUCGGGGGCGUCAGUAUUCAGCUGUCAGAGGUGAAAUUCUUGGAUUUGCUGAAGACUAACUACUGCGAAAGCAUUCGCCAAGGAUGUUUUCAUUAAUCAGGGAACGAAAGUUAGGGGAUCGAAGACGAUCAGAUACCGUCGUAGUCUUAACCAUAAACUAUGCCGACUAGGGAUCGGGCGGUGUUUCUAAGAUGACCCGCGGCGAACACCUUACGAGAAAUCAAAGUUUUUGGGUUCUGGGGGGAGUAUGGUCGCAAGGCUGAAACUUAAAGAAAUUGACGGAAGGGCACCACAAGGCGUGGAGCCUGCGGCUUAAUUUGACUCAACACGGGGAAACUCACCAGGUCCAGACAAAAUAAGGAUUGACAGAUUGAGAGCUCUUUCUUGAUCUUUUGGAUGGUGGUGCAUGGCCGUUCUUAGUUGGUGGAGUGAUUUGUCCGCCUAAUUGCCAAAACCAACGAAACCCCCCCCCCUCCAUAUCCCGGCCCGCAUUU